GCCCAGAUAGCUCAGUUGGUAGAGCAGUGGACUGAAAAUCCACGUGUCACUGGUUCGAUUCCGGUUCUGGGCACCA
rnacentral:tRNA from 7 species